rnacentral:rRNA from 1 species
UACGUAGGGCGCAAGCGUUAUCCGGAAUUAUUGGGCGUAAAGAGCUCGUAGGCGGUUUGUCGCGUCUGCCGUGAAAGUCCGGGGCUCAACUUCGGAUCUGCGGUGGGUACGGGCAGACUAGAGUGAUGUAGGGGAGACUGGAAUUCCUGGUGUAGCGGUGAAAUGCGUAGAUAUCAAGUGGAACACCAGUGGCGAAGGCGAGUCUCUGGACAUUUCCUGACGCUGAGGCACGAAAGCCAGGGGAGCAAACGGG